CAAAUUGGGCCUAUUUUAGAAGGAGGCAACGGUAGUUCGCAGGCUAGCUCACUGGCUGAUUGGUUAGCUUGCUAGCUAGGUAACUAUUCAUUUUCUGGUCACAGAAAAAGAAGCAGACGGGACGGUGGGACAAAUCCCUGCGGAGACCAUGGCAGACGAUUUUGACAUUGAGGCUAUGCUAGAGGCUCCAUACAGAAAGGAUGAGAUCAAGUCCUCUAGCGCUAAUGGACAUGAGGAGCGCAGUAGUAAGAAGAAAAAGAGGAGCCACAGUAGGAGUAGUCGGAGCCCGAGCUCUGACAAGCGCAGAAGCAAGAGCAAAGACAGGAAGAAGAGCCGGGACAGGAAGAGGAGCAAGAGUCGGGAGAAGAAACGCAGCCGCAGUAAGGAGCGCCGCCGCAGCGGCUCCCAUAGCAGGGAGCGUGCCGGGCGCUACAGAGGACGCCGCAGCCCCUUUUUGGGGCCGAAAUUUAACGGUGGUCCAGGAGGGAAGAUUGGCCCACCACAUGCCAACAAACUAAGUCGUAGGCGCUCAAGAAGUCGUAGUCCCUUCAAGAAAGACAAGAGUCCAGUAAGGCAACCAAUUGACAACCUGACCCCAGAGGAGAGGGAUGCCCGUACUGUGUUCUGUAUGCAGCUGGCAGCCAGAAUCCGACCACGAGAUCUAGAGGACUUCUUCUCUGCUGUGGGGAAAGUGAGAGACGUGAGGAUGAUCUCCGAUAGAAACUCCAGGAGGUCAAAGGGCAUCGCCUACAUAGAGUUUCUGGAGGCGAAUUCCGGGUCCCAUUGGCCAUUGGCUUGACUGGACAGAGACUUCUUGGAGUGCCCAUCAUUGUCCAGGCCUCUCAGGCUGAGAAGAACAGAGCAGCAGCAAUGGCCAACAACCUUCAGAAGGGUAAUGCUGGCCCCAUGCGGCUGUACGUGGGCUCUCUGCACUUCAACAUCACAGAGGACAUGCUGCGAGGCAUCUUUGAGCCUUUCGGAAGGAUUGAGAGCAUACAGCUGAUGAUGGACAGUGAAACUGCACGAUCCAAAGGAUAUGGUUUCAUCUCAUUUGCAGAUGCAGAGUGCGCUAAGAAAGCAUUGGAGCAGCUGAAUGGCUUUGAGCUGGCCGGACGGCCCAUGAAGGUUGGUAACGUGACAGAACGCACCGACUCCUCCACCGCCAGCUCCUUCCUGGACAACGAUGAGCUGGAGAGGACGGGCAUUGACCUGGGCACCACUGGGCGCCUGCAGCUCAUGGCCCGGCUGGCAGAGGGUACUGGUCUUCAGAUUCCUCCAGCUGCACAACAGGCUCUACAGAUGAGUGGUUCCAUGCACUCCUCUUCAAUCCACUUCGGCAACAUGGCAGCUGGUACAGCUGUCGCCAACCCUGCCAUGAACCUGGGUCCAAGCAUGAACCAGGCCAUGAACCUCCCAACUCAACCACUGGCUACACACUGCCUACAGCUGUCCAACAUGUUCAGCCCACAGUCGGAAAAUGAGCCUGGUUGGGACAUCGAGAUUCAAGAUGACGUCAUGGAGGAGUGCAACAAACAUGGUGGAAUUGUCCAUAUAUAUGUCGACAAGAACUCACCUCAGGGCAACGUGUAUGUAAAAUGCCCCACUAUCCCAACAGCGAUGGCUGCAGUAAAUGCCCUACAUGGACGGUGGUUUGCAGGUAAAAUGAUCACUGCGGCGUACGUACCCCUCCCAACCUACCAUAACCUUUUCCCUGAUUCAGUAACGGCCACCCAGCUACUGAUGCCUUCGCGGCGAUAAGUCUGCCAUGCAUGGAGUAGAUGUUGCAACGCCUGUGGGCUUCAAAAUGUACAUAAUGUUUGCUAAUAUGUUGGGAACUUAUUUACCAGAGUAGCAAAAUACUGCACCAGUCCACCCAAUCUUCAUUCAGAAAUACAAAAGGUUUUGAAGGAUAUUUGUUUUAUUGUUCAAUCUGACAGCCAUCAGGCUGAGCUUGAGUUCUGUAUCCGCACAUUUCUGUUGGUGCACUUGAGCAAAUUACGUUGUGUGUUUCAACCUGCAUUGCGAUAAGGAGUUGUUAUACAGUGGAAAGUGGGUACUAAGUACAUUUAAGUUGAAACUGACCACAAAAGAACCCAUUUUGGGGACAACCCCACCUAAUUAACCUCUGAUUCUAAGUGCAGUUUGCUCUGUCCUCAUCCAAUUACCACUUAUCAUUGUACGUUUUGUCAUUCAGUUCGGCUUUAGAAAUUGAUUUGCCCAGUAAGUUUUUCAGUUAAUGUGUUAAAUGAAAAGAACAAUGCCUACAAACACACAAAAACAGAUCUAUUUUUUUGUUAACAACUUCAAGGUAUUCAUUGUGUUUGAGAUCACUAAGUUUUUAACAUUUGUAAUCAAGACUUGAUUUUGUAAAAACUCUUGAUUUAAAUUUACUAUCAAAAUAAGUGAUUUGGGUGGUUCAAUGUGAUGUGCAUUUUGUCUUGUUGACAUUGGAUUGUUUCAUCUGGAAUGAAGGGGGAUGUGAAAUAUGUGUUUGUAAUAAAAUCCUAGUUUACAACA